rnacentral:rRNA from 1 species
AGUGAACGCUGGCUGUAGGCCUAACACAUGCAAGUCGACCGGCAGCACAGGAGAGCUUGCUCUCUGGGUGGCGAGUGGCGGAGGGGUGAGGAAUACAUCGGAAUCUACUCUGUCGUGGGGGAUAGCGUAGGGAAACUUACGCUAAUACCGCAUACUACCUACGGGUGAAAGCAGGGGACCUUCGGGCCUUGCGCGAUUGAAUGAGCCGAUGUCGGAUUAGCUACUUGGCGGUGUAAAGGCCCACCAAGGCGGCGAUCCGUAGCUUGGUCGGAGAGGAUGAUCAGCCCCACAGGAACUGAGACACGGUCCAGACUCCUACGGGAGGCAGCAGGGGGGAAUAGUGGACAAUGGGCGCAAGCCUGAUCCAGCCAUACCGCGUGGGUGAAGAAGGCCUUCGGGUUGUAAAGCCCUUUUGUUGGGAAAGAAAUCCAGCUGGCUAAUACCCGGUUGGGAUGACGGUACCCAAAGAAUAAGCACCGGCUAACUUCGUGCCAGCCGUCGCGGUAA